rnacentral:misc_RNA from 1 species
CGUGUAGCUCAUCCAACAUAUCUGAAAAUAGAAUAAAUAUUUUUUUAUUCCAUAGACAACACCUAGAACAUAAGGGUGAUGAGUAUCAAUGUUCAUAAAAUCAAAUUCCAAGGAGGAUACAACCAAGUAACGUUGGAAAAUUCGUUUAGUUUAGCGGCAAGUGACAGCACAUAAACACCAUCAAUCUUGAAUCCGUCAUAUGACCAUGACCAUCAAUUACGAGUUUCUGUUGCAAACUAAACGUAAUGUGGCUAAUUGCCUCCGUUGUUAGGUUUGAGCUCUACCGACCAUUUGGAAGAGCAAUUAACAACCUUACAAGCACAUGUUUCUUGCUUAUUGUAUGUUUCCACAUCAUGCUACCAUACGCUGCUGCAGGUACUGAGAGUUGCAUCUAUGCCGAUGUGUUAAAUACCCGCCGACUAAUCAACAUAUCAGCAAUAAACAUCAAUGGUUCAGAAACGGGUGAAGCCAAUUUUUCGUGGAAGACUGAAAAUCAACUUCAGAAGUAUAAACGCUCCCAAGCAGUACCUUCAAUGUUCUCUGGGGUCACAC